UCAGACUCGCGGCACCGAGCUCAGUAACACGUGGCCAAACUACCCUACAGAGACGGAUACCCUCGGGAAACUGAGGUUAACCCGUCAUACCGAUCUCAGGCUUGAAUCGCAGAGAUCACAAAACGCCCCGGCGCCGGAGGAUGAGGCUGCGGCCGAUUAGGUUGACGGUGGGGUAAUGGCCCACCGUGCCGAUAAUCGGUCUGGGUCAUGAGAGUGAGAACCCAGAGACGGAAUCUGAGACAAGAUUCCGGGCCCUACGGGGCGCAGCAGGCGCGAAACCUUUACACUGCACGCCAGUGCGAUAAGGGGACCCCAAGUGCGCAGGCAUAGUGCCUGCGCUUUUCUGGACUGUAGGGCGGUCCAGGAACAAGGGCUGGGCAAGACCGGUGCCAGCCGCCGCGGUAAUACCGGCAGCCCAAGUGAUGGCCGCUGUUAUUGGGCCUAAAGCGUCCGUAGCUGGCCGCACAAGUCCGUCGGGAAAUCCGCCCGCUCAACGGGCGGCCGUCCGGCGGAACCUGUGUGGCUUGGGACCGGGAGGCCUGAGGGGUACGAUCGGGGUAGGAGUGAAAUCCUGUAAUCCCGCUCGGACCGCCGAUGGGGAAACCACCUCAGGAGAACGGAUCCGACAGUGAGGGACGAAAGCCAGGGUCUCGAACCGGAUUAGAUACCCGGGUAGUCCUGGCCGUAAACGAUGCUUGUUAGGUGUGACUCCCACUACGAGUGGGUGUUGUGCCGUAGGGAAGCCG
rnacentral:rRNA from 1 species